UUCUUUUGCUAGCCGUCCCUUUUCCGAGAUUCCCGCUGUCUCUUGGGUACCCGGCCCACUGUCCGUUCCCCUCGGGAAACGAAAAGAGGCAUCUGCAGCCUCCUUGGUUUCUUUCCGAAGAGCCAGACGCUGAGCGACUUGCGCUCGAGCCCGUUUCGUCCCGGGCUCAGCGGCAUGAUACCUGUUGAGUCUGGCUCCUUGAAUUGCUUUCCAAAGCAGAUAUCGUACAGGACGCGAGAGAGUUCAAAUCUGCUGGGUGUCCGUGAUCGGACAGUCGUUGAGCCCAGCUCUGCCGGUCUAGUGACGAUUAGUACUGCCGGAGGGCUCAGGUGCUAGGCCCUGCUUUACACGGUCUUCACACCAUGACCCACCCAGCCUCAGCCAGCCGGGUCACGUGUGCACCUUGUGCCCAGGGAGGGGCAGGACGCAGACACAGGCCUCGUGACAUUGCCUCCGUGAUGCAGAGCAUUGCAACACCGCCAUGCCCUGCAGCUGGCCAGCACUCUGCCUUGCUACUUGCCUGCCUUGAAAAGAAGACCCAGGUCCCACACACAGCCCAGUGAGAAGACGGUGGUGGCCUAUCACGAGGCUGGACAUGUCGUGGGCUGGUUCCUGGAGCAUGCAGAUCCCCUGCUGAAGGUGGGCAAGCAGCUUCUGGAGAAGGAAGUACUGGAGAAGGCGGGCGUGGUGGAGCUGCUGGGCUCAGGGCCCUCCACAGAGAAGUCCACCUACGAGGAGUUUGUGGAGGACACAUCCCUUCCAAGGGCCUGAGGGGCUGGGAUGGUGGGGACUGGGGCGGGAGGGAGGAGCACAGAGCAGCGCAUGCAGGAGAGCCCUGCCUGGCCUGCCCAGCUACUGGGACUCCUGCUCCCCAGAGCUCUGCAGAGCAGCUGCCGGGUCUCCCGAGAACAAUUAAAGCGUGUAAUGACCACAGACAGGCCUUUGAGAUAAGGGCGCCCUGAGCCUGCAGAAGGGAGCUGGGAGUUGGCAGCAGCUAGCCAAGUUUAAGGGGAGUAAUGAGUGCCCUAAGUUCCUGGACCCUGUUCCUCGAGGACAGUGGGGUCCUGAGACUGGGAU